UUAAGUUCAGCGCGUAUUCCUACCUGAUCCGAGGUCAACCAUAGAAAGUUUCCUUUUUGUGAAAGGAGAGGACCGGGUCCCGGGUGCCCUUGUCCGAUACGUGCUCGGUGAAAAGCUCAGUGUACCGGGGGAACUACAGGCCGCCGUCAUUGUCUUUAGGAGGGGUCGAUCGCUCGACCGGCCGUCCAACACCAAGCACA
rnacentral:misc_RNA from 1 species